CUUGCCUCAGCCUCCCAAAGUGCUGGGAUCACAGGCGUGAGCCACCGCGCCCAGCCUGCUACCUUCUUAAAUAUGAAUGCCCAUCCAUUCAAUGAUCACCAGGCCUCUAACAUGAAAGACACCAAAAACAGAAAAAAAGGACCUUAAGAAAACAAGAAAUACUAUAAACAGAUGUAAACACCCAAAACAAUUACAAUCAAUACUGUCAGAGAGAUACUGUACCCAUGAAACAAAAACAGAUGUAUAAAAUUCACUGAAGAAAAAAAGCGCAGGAAAAGCAUACUAUUCAGAAAUACAGUCGUCCCUUGGUGUACACGGGGGACUGGUUCCAAGACCACCUUUGUAUAUCCAAAUCUGCUCAUACUCGAGUCCCACAGCUGGUCCUGAAGAAACCACAUAUAUGUCGGCCCUCCAUAUACUCUGGUUUUGCAUCUCUUGAAUACAUGAUUUUUGAUCUGUGUUUGGUUGAAAAAAAUACACGUACAAGUGGAACUGUGCAGUUUAAAUGUAUUGUUCCAAGGUCAACUAUAUAUAUAUAUCAGGUGAAAGAGAAGAGCUCAAGAUAGAUACACAAUUGUGGGGUUGUGCUGGGGCACAGAACUACUGAUCUUUUUCCUUUUUUUUUUUGAGACAAUGUCUUGCUGUC
rnacentral:lncRNA from 1 species